rnacentral:rRNA from 1 species
AUUGAACGCUGGCGGCAUGCCUACACAUGCAAGUCGAACGGCAGCACGGGUGCUUGCACCUGGUGGCGAGUGGCGAACGGGUGAGUAAUACAUCGGAACGUACCUUAUCGUGGGGGAUAACGCAGCGAAAGCUGUGCUAAUACCGCAUACGCCCUGAGGGGGAAAGCGGGGGAUCGCAAGACCUCGCGCGAUUAGAGCGGCCGAUGCCUGAUUAGCUUGUUGGUGGGGUAAAAGCCCACCAAGGCGACGAUCAGUAGCUGGUCUGAGAGGACAAUCAGCAACACUGGGACAGAGACACGGCCAGACUCCUACGGGAGGCAGCAGUGGGGAAUUUUGGACAAUGGGGGCAACCCUGAUCCAGCAAUGCCGCGUGAGUGAAGAAGGCCUUCGGGUUGUAAAGCUCUUUUGUCAGGGAAGAAACACCGGCUCUAACACAGUCCGGGAAUGACGGUACCUGAAGAAUAAGCACCGGCUAACUACGUGCCAGCCGCCGCAGUAA